rnacentral:lncRNA from 1 species
UGGAAGCUAUGUGUGGGCAUGCUUGUUCGUGAGGAUCUUCAAUUCGAGAGAGUUCAAGCAAGGACUGAGUAAGGCAAGACAAAAGUAUUGGAUAGAUUCGUGUUUAGAGUUUAUCUUCUUGAGUCUUGUAAUAGUCCAUUCUUAGUGGAUUUCUAGAGGUUUUUUCCGGUUGGGUUUUUUCCUUGUACCAUUGGGUACAAAAAUCCUUGUGUUAAUUUACUUAUGCUGCAAGAUUUUAUUAUUUAGAUUGGGGAUUGACAUCCUUGUCCAAUCAUAUUACGGUCAUCUAUUUACUCUACCUGAGGCACGAUUUCAACAAUUUUUCUCUUUAUUAGUGAGUUUUGUGCGAGAGCAAAUAAAUCCAACGUCCAAUUCAGAGACGCCACGUGGAAAAUAAGCUAAUCCUAAAAAUAUAUUAUUUAAAUCAAUAAAUGUAGAAGUCGGUGGGGAAGUUGUUGUAGUGUAGGAGGAAGAUGACAUCAACGUUGGAGAAGCUGUCUUCAAAGAUUGAACUGGACAUUCCGGUGGUUGUGGUGGUUGUGGCAGUUGCGAUAGUAAGUCAAAGUGGAUUUGGUGGCACAUGGAGAGGGAGAAAGAGACUUGGCGAGUUUGGAUAUAGGAGGGAGGUGGGAAAAGAAAGAAUGGGUUUGUUCAGUGUGUGCAACGACGGAGAAAGAGGGAGAAAUAGAUGGGGAGAGAGAAAGGAAGAGAGAAAGAUAGAGAAAGAGAGGGAUGGGUUUGUGUUUUUUUUUUUUGGUUGCAAAAUGUCACAUUUUUUGUCCCUGUGGUUUAUCACUUCUACCACUAAGGUCCUUGUGGUUUAAAUUUGAUCAUUUUUACCCCUAUGGUUUCAAUUUGAAGCAAUUCAAGGACAAUUAUUCUCAAUUUCUAUCAUUUUUUUUUAACUUAAUGUUAUUUGUUGAGAGGCAAUUUAGUCCACAAAUUAUUAAAAAAUUAAUUCCUUUUAAAAAUAAAAAAAUAUAAAUAUAAAAAAAAUAAAAUAAAGGGAGCUUUAGUAGUAUAUCCAAAAUAGAGACUGAAAUUAUAAAAAAAACUCCAUAUAAAAUGCACUUCAGAAACAUACCCAAAAACCAUUUACUAAAUAAGAAAUAAGUGUUGAAGUUCCUAUAAAUUACAUGACUGCCAUUGAUUAACUUAAAAUAAGCCCAACAUAAAAAACUCAAAAAAAAAACCCAAAACAAGCCCAACAAGCCCGAAAUACAUUGUUAAUACCAUAUCAUAGAGUACAUUGUUAAUACCAUUUCAUACAAAAAAAAACUAUAAAAAAAACUCAAAAAAGCCCAGCAAGACAUCCGAUAUUCUUUGCAGAAACCACCUCCAAUUGUCCACAAUUUCACCAGAAACAAUCGCAAAGGCAAAAGGAAAUACAUCUAUAAGAAGAAAAAAAAAAGUACACUGUUAAUACUAUGUCAUAGAACUAUAUUCCUAGUAAAAAUCACAUUAUGCAUAUCAUAAACUUCAAGUGCAUAGCUAUAUAUAGAGUAAAAUAUAGAGCAUGCUUUGUUACUGAAACAUGUUAAUACUAUGUCAUAAAAGCAUACUGUUAAUAUUAUGUCAUAGAAGUAUACUGUUAAUACUAUGUCAUAGAAAUCAACUCAGUUGCAGGGUAUGAACAGUAUAACAACUUUUCAUGCCACUUAUUAGAAAUUAACAACUACAUCAUUUCAUUUGCAUAAUAGAUAAGAUAAAGAAUCCAAACAGUACCAAACAUCAAAAUCAAGUCAACACUAAACAAUGUUUUGAGCAUUAAAAUUACAAAGAACCUAGAUCACUGAGAAUCUAAAUCCAAGAACAGUAAUUAUCAAAUUUCUUAUCUUUGGUUCAAUUUGUAUUAGAAAAGAAAAUGAAGAUGUUGUGGCAAGAUGCCACACCAACAAUACAAAUAUAUAGUUUAAGUUCUUGUAUGCAAAAUCAUUGUUAGCUAACUCAUAGUGGAAAACUGGAGGGAAAAAAGCAUACACUCUCUGCCUUUUCCAUCCAGUUUGUUUCCUUUUCUAUUGACACUGCAAUUUCUUAUUUAUGUUCUAAAGAAAAAAAAUAUGAAAUAUAUAUAUGAUAGAGAAAGGCUAGAAUGAGAUGAAACAAAUCCUAUGGCCUAUACAAACAAGUGGUCUAACAUGCUGCCAAUAGCCAUAGCAUAAUUAGAGAAGAAAUUGCAAUUGUUACCCAACUCAGGUACGCCAAUGCAACUGCCAUUUGGUAUUUUUGGCAUUCCUCUCCAAAAUUGCAGUGGCUCAAGCCACUAAAGUACAACACAAUUAUGCCAAAUGAUGCAAAAGCUGCUGCAAGAGACAAUGUUGCUGUAAGCUGUUAGAAAAGGUAAAGAGUAAGCUAUUAAAUGGCAAGCACUAUAUGGACACACAAGAUUUUCAUCUAAGGAAGUCAAGGAUUUGUAGAGGCUAACCCAGUCUCCAACUAUAAAGAGGCUAACCAAUGCAGGGUUGUGGAGGACCUUCUUUGGAAUAUGCAUCUAGCAAUGCCAACACUAAACUCCAGAUGACUUCCAGACCCAUUGAAGCAAUCAGGUAGCUGCAAAAUGAGCAUUGCCUUAAACAAAUAUCACAAUUUUUUUUCAGGAUAAGAAAUGGCAUGUGAUGCAUCAAGAGAUGUUGAAAUCUGCCCCAUAAGCCUACAGAAUCAGGUUACACAAAAUUGAACUUAGAUGGCAAUUUACUCACAAACAUUACAUAGCAUACACAGAUAGAGCCAAUAAGAAUAAGAAAUAUGAUAAUAAUACAGACUCCAAAAAGACACUUCAUUCUCGUGAAAAAACUUAACAGGUCAUAAGUUAACAAUGUAUCAAGAUUUUGUUUAAUGUUCUGGCAUACAAGAUUUUGUAGAACUUCAUUCUAUGCAAUAUUAUUGAUUCUCCAAGACCAUUCAUCGCAAUGCAAGAAGAAAACAGUGGACGAUACUAAGCAAAUAAAUCAUCAAACAACAGUGAGAAAAACAAGGAUAAUGAAUUCUAAAUCACUAAUUCCAAUUAUUAUAUCAUUCUAAAAUAGAAAAAGCAAUACAUCAAUGUCUCAUAUUGACUAAUUAAGUAUUUUACACCAAGAACUCAUCCCAAAAUUGAAUCACCAUCACCAAAACCUCAAUUCAAUCAUACAAUAAGCAAACACAUAAAUUAACAACAAGAAAUAAAAAUACAAGAAAUAAAAAAUUUCACAGUAACCUUCAAGAGCUUUUGCGCAUGCAAGACUACAAGUAGUUCUUAAGAGAAAUUCUCUCAUGGUAGCGUAUCCGUAUUGAGAUUGACGAAUGCUAUCCAACGAUCAUCUCAAGUACAAUCUCUGCUUUCUUUGCAUGGCUCAUUCCUCCAAAGGAGUUCUUAGCUCCGUCUCCGUCGGAGGUUGCUGUGGUUGACGUCACUCGGAUUCAACGGUGCUAGAGAAAGGAAAUAGAGGCUUAUCGUCUACCAACGGAGAUUGAGACGGAGAUGAUUACGGUGGCCCUGGAGGUGAAGAAGGAUGUGGUGCAUUAACUGGAGCGUCCGACAAAGAUGGUGGAAGGGAAAUCAGUGAUGGAGUUUUGGGUGAAGGUGAAUAGGCGGCGGGUUGCAGCGAUAGAGUCGACGAGCGCUAUGAAGGAGACGACGAAAAUACAAUGGAGAAUUGGACUAGGAGAAAAAGCCAAAAGCAGAGCUCGCUGAACCUCGCCGUUGUUUAAGAAGAAGAAGAAAGUUUGAGAUGUUGGUUGAUGAAGAUUAAGUUGAUUAAUAGAUAAAGCAAAAGGGCAAAACAAUAAUCAAACAUUACUGUUGGAUUUAAGAAAUGAACAGUUGUCAAUUUUUGGGUUUAUUUUGGGUGUGUUUAUAUACAUUAGAUGAUAUAGGAUUUUUUUUAUAGAACUAUGUCUAGGAAUGGGUAUUUGACUAAUUUUUUAUAAAAUAAAACAUCUAGGUCCCCUUUCCUCCUAAUCCCCACCAACAGUUGUAACAACCCGGUCCUUAAAAUAAUAUUUAAUUAUUAAUUUAUUAGGGAGAAAGAUAAUUUUGUCCCUAGAAUAAAUUAGUAAGGAAAAAGUUGACUUUUUGACCGAGAGGGAAUUUGGGAUUUUCGCAUAGACACGUAGUGGGCUCGAAUCGGAGUUAUAAUGACGAAAAUACUGUCAAAUUACAUAGAGGGGCAAAAUGGUAAUUCUUUUCAAGUCAGAAUUUUAAAACCCUCUUCUCUCUCUUCUUCCUUAGUCUCUCUUCUCUCUCCCUGCAGCCCCCCUUUCCCGUGCGUUUCCCUCAGCCAAACCUCCAUUAUCGCCACCACCCUUCAUCCCGACUGACGAGACAAGACCCAAAACCACCGCAGCAGCCCCGCCGACACACCCUGGCCUCUUCCCGCCACUAACCACCGCGAUAGUUACCGGAAAUCAAAGGAAUCGCUCUGGUUUUGGGUCGAUUUUUCACAGCUCUGUUCUCUCUCAUUCUGCCACCAAAUUGAAUGUGUGAUGUAUGGAUUUCUAGCUAUUUUUUGUGCUCUAGCUGUUGGUUGGAUAGGUUUUCAUCGAUUCGAAGCGUAGAGAGUUCGAUUUUAGAGUUAGGGUUCGGCCGAUUUUGAGAUAGAAAUUCCAGCCACUUCCGGCCAGUUUUUGGGGUAGGUCCAAGAACAAAAGUGGUUCUAAAUAGGGCCUUUCACCUAUGGUAGGAGUUUGGGCCGGCAGUUUGGAGUUUUUCCGGCCGUCAAAAAUUUAUCAAGCCACCCACGCGCUGCCGGUGCGUAUUGCGGUGCGUGGGCAAUGUGGUGGGGACCACAUUCAGUCCUAGAGUGAUCCCCCUACUAUCACAAGCGCAUAGGAAUUCUCGGAUCUUAAUUCGGACAACAUUUGAACCCCGAACGGAUCUCGCAUAUUGUGUGAUUUCCGGGUUCAAUACAAUUGAGCCGUUGGAUCGUAAUCAUUUUCAGAUUUGUUGAUCAAGACAUUUCCAAGAUUGUAUGGGAUUCGAAGGAUUGUGAAUCGGAGUCCCGGAUACUCCGAAAUCGCGAACCCUAGGGUUAGGUUUACAAUAAUUAUCCAAUGGUACGAUCGUGGUCAAUCUGACCGUCAAACCGAGGUCAAACUCUCGGGACUUGUUUCCUAGGUAUUUAAAAACCUCUAGGAGCUUUCGAAUCAGAAUUGUAAGGUCGUGGGCCCAAAUGCAAGUAAAGCUUUUAGGACUUUAGCGAUUUUUGAGUCUCGAGGUACUUCUCAACCAUCCCAAAUGCAAGUAAAGCUUUUGUGGGCAUAGGAAACGUUUCUAAGUUAGUGCACGCACUUCUAGGAGCCGGUGGUCAGGGUUUUAUUUAAAUGCUUAUACCGAGCAGUUUUAUUAAUUAGAUAUUCAUGAUGUUUAAUCAGGCACACGGGCACGGACCGACCCGCAGGAAGGACCUUCAAGAGGUCCAGCUAGCUCGGAUCAGGGGUGAGUGGACCUUUGCUUUUAAAAUGAUUUUAUGCAAUUUAUAUUCAUUAUGUGAUCUAUAGAAGUAUGCUUUAGAUCAAGGGCUUUCUGGAAUGUAUUGCUAAGGUUGAGUAUUUUAUGAGAGUACCUGAGUAUAGUAAAGGUAAUAACUUUAGAAAUCGGUUAGGAUGGCGGUAGUGUUUUAAGAUGAGAGGAGAUAGUUUUAUUUAUUUUUUAAGUAGAGUCUUUAGUUAAGUUAGCAUGCUUGACUUUGGCCCCACGAGACUUAGGGAUAUCCGAACUGUGGAAGCGAGAAACGCAAGUCAGGUGGGCUUAGUGUCCCUUGAGUCUUGCGAGGAGGGCGGAUCAAGCUAACCUGAGUCCUGCAAGGGUGUGUCACCAUGGUGACAUGAGGUAUAAAUAGUAAGUUAGGGUUUUGGCGAGAAUAAAUAAUUAUACCAAUAUGAUAAGUUGAGUUUUACUUCAAUAUCUUCCAGCAGGAAUAUUGUUUGGUAUUAUAUGUAUAAAUAUGAAUGCAUGAGUUCAGUAUGAGUAUAUAUGAGGAUAUUGAUUCAGUUUUUAUAACUGUUUUUACAAGUGGGGUUAGUAUGUUCAUAUGCUAUUUUCAAAACCUUAUUUUUGGUCCACUCACGUUUUCAAUGUUUUGAGCCCCCAGGCAGUAGGCGUACACAGUGAUCCACCACAGGGCUGUUUUCUACUUUCCGCACUUCCCCCAUUCUGAUGUAGGGCUCUUAUGAUAUUCAGCUGACUUCUUUUGUAAAUUCUUAGAUAACCUGCCCUAUAACUUAGAUUUAAUUGUUGGAAUAUAUAUAUGUACGCAUGCUGGCAGUUGGAUUGUAUAUAUAUAUGCUUAUUUUGACAUGUGUAAAUUUGGGGUUUGAUCAAAUUACAAGGGAGACUCUGCCGAAUUUUUGGUAGAAGUCAAGCUUGUUAUUAAACUGAAAUUUUGUUAGAAGGGCAAUUAGGUCAUUUGUACUUGGCACCCGCCAGGUGUCCGACACGCACAGGGUUCGGCUCGGAUUCCAAAGUGGAAUGUGGGUUGGGUCCUGUCAACUUGGUAUCAAAGCAUUAGGUUUAACUUCAUGUAGACUCUGCACUUUGUGCAUUCUAGUUUUAAUGAAUAUCUAUUUCUUGUGACAGAAUCAUGGGCCCUAAGCAUGGUGGCACUAGUAGAGAGGUUAGACGGUCGUCCCAACUCCAGGGGCAGGAUCCCCAGACCGGAUCAGAGGGAUUCCUUAUUCCCUCAUCGGUACCAACAAGGGCCGCACCAGAGAUACCCAUAUCGUCGGGAGAUCCCCACUUCCAGCAAACGUUAGAGAUGUUGACCCAGGCUCUGAACAGGACUGGGCAGCCCAGAGAUCCCUCCUUGAGUUAUGCAGAUAAGGUAAGAGGAUUGAGGCCACUGAUCUCAAUAGUGAUGGUGACCCAGCAGUAGCCGAGGAGUGGAUAAAGAGGAUAGAGCGGAUAAUGGAUGUGAUGGUCGUGCCACAAGACCACAGAGUGGGAGGCAAUUAGGAGGAGGUAUCAGGACCCAUCGGUCAUCACGUGGCCAGUGUUCAGAGCAGCAUUUGACAGCCAGUACUAUCCUCAAGCAUACCAGAACAUGAAGAUGGAAGAAUUUUUGCAGCUGGAGCAGGGGGUGAUGACUGUGUUGGAAUAUGAAAAGAAGUUUAAUGAGUUGUCCAAAUAUUGUGUUCCACUAGUACAGGAUGAAAGAAAGAAGUGCCAAUUAUUUACAAGAGGGUUGAAGACUUCCAUCAAGGACAUUGUGAUUAGUCAGCACUGACGAACUUUGCAAAUUUGGUGAUGUCUGCCUCAUUGGUAGAGUGCAGUCAGAUGAUGGUUCAAUCACGGGGUGAUCCCCGUAUGCAACAGUUUGAUAUGGUGGUCCUAGUUAGGGGCCAUCUAAGAGGGGUAGUUACAGUUCAAGAUCGUCUAGUGGCCGCAGCUAUGGAGGUUUUCGACCCGAAUUUAGUUCCAGUGAAGGCUCUAACCAGAGCGGUAGUUCUGGAAACCAUUCUGGAAGGGGUGUAGCCCGAGAUAUCGGGAGAUAGUUGCAGACAACUACUAGUAGGAAGGGUCGUCCCUAGUGUGCAGAGUAUGGUAGGUACCAUUAUGGGCAUUGCCGACAGGGUGCUAUUUGAUGCUAUCAUUGUGGACAGCCCGGACAUUUCCGGAGGGAGUGCCUGAUGCUUCUUCAGGGUGGAGACGCAACAGCUGUACCAACUCAGGGGAUUAGCGCCCAGGGUAGAUCUCAAGAGGCACCACAGUUUGUAGGGGCUUCAUCCAGUGGUGAAGCCCAGACUGAUACAGCCGGCAGGAAUGGCAACCAGUAGAGGGGACAUGGCGGAGACGUUCCAGAGCUACAGGGAGAGUGUAUAAUAUGUCACAGCAAGAGCACAGGCGUCCCCAGAUGUAAUUAUAGGUAUGUUGCCAGUUUUUGGGAUUCAUGCUAAAGCAUUGAUUGACUGUAGGGCUACACAUUCGUUUGUUACACCUAGUUCUGCCACAAUGCAAAUGUGAGACUUUCAAUUCUACGGAAUGAGAUGGCGAUGUCCGUACCUACAAGAGAGGUCUUUAUGGUAGGUACAAUGUAUUGGGAUAGUUUGGUGUUAGUGGGGGAGGUAUUUUUGGAGCCAAAUCUAAUUCCCCUAGAGAUGGUGGACAGAGUAAGUUUAGCAAAUGCCAGUUCUGGUUGGACAGAGUAAGUUUCUUGGGAUAUGUGAUCUCUGCAGAAGGUAUAUUUGUGGAUCCCCAGAAAAUUGAGGCAGUAGUGAAUUGGCCACGACCAACCAGUGUUAUUGAGAUACGGAGUUUCCUUGGGUUAGCCGGGUAUUAUCGCCGUUUCGUGGAGGGUUUCUCCACCAUAACGGCGCCUCUCACUCAUUUGACAAGAAAAUACGUCAUGUUCGAAUGGUCAGAUGAAUGUGAGGAGAGCUUCAUUGAACUCAAGACCAGGUUGACCACUGCUCCGGUGUUAGCCCUUCCGGAUGAUAGUGGGAACUUCGUUAUCUACAGUGAUACAUCCCAACAAGGACUUGGUUGUGUGCUAAUGCAGCAUGGUAGGGUAAUUGCUUAUGCUUCUAGACAGCUCAAGAAACAUGAGGUGAAUUAUCCUAUUCAUGAUUUAGAACUUGCUGCGGUGGUUUUUGCCCUAAAGAUUUCUACGGAGAAACAUGCCAGAUUUUUUCAGAUCAUAAGAGUUUGAAAUAUCUGUUCACCCAGAAGGAAUUGAAUUUGAGGCAAAGAAGGUGGCUAGAGUUGAUUAAAGAUUAUGACUGUACAAUUGAGCAUCACCCGGGAAGAGCUAAUGUUGUAGUUGAUGCACUAGCAGAAAAUCCUCAGGGUCUGUCACUUAUUUCCGAAGGAGGUAUGUGCCCUUGAUGGUAGAAAUAAGGAAGCUCAGAGUUGGGCUAGGUAUGGAUGAUCUGGGAGCAUUGUUAGCUACUCUCCAUGUGAGACCCGUGCUAGUGGAGUGAAUACUCGCAGCUCAAUCACAGGAUCCUUUGAUUUGGAUGCUACGAUCGGAGGUGGAGAAUGGCGACAGAACUGAUUGUUCAGUAAGAAAUGAUGGAGCUUUAAUGGUGGGUACCAUGUUAUAUGUCCCUAAUGAUGAAUCUUUAAAAAGAGAAAUGCUAAAUGAGGCUCAUUGUUCAACUUUUACUCUGAGGGAACACUAUUGGUGGCCUUUUAUGAAGACAGAAAUAGCAGAGUAUGUCAGGAGGUGCUUGGAGUGCCAGCAAGUCAAGGCAGAGCGACAAAAACCAUCGAGGUUGUUGCAACCACUUCCAAUUCCUGAGUGGAAGUGAGGAAGUGGGAGCACAUAACCAUGGAUUUUGUGUUCAAGCUUCCUCGGACACUGAACAAGCAUGAUGGAGUUUGGGUAAUCGGGCACGUUUGCCACGGUUCUUCCGUUUUGGAAUCUGAUAUGCAGGCUCUAUGCCUUCUGAAAUCAAAUUAUCAUGGGAUAUUUCAUUAAUGUUAUCAAUUUAAGGACAAGAUCUUACCUGAAUGACAUCAUCAACAGGUGAUUGGUGUGGUACUGGAGUUGAAGAAGUCUCCAGAGUGGGCAAAAUCUCAUCAGUUUCUUCAUCCUGAGUUGGACAGCAAGGAGACGACAUAUCAGGCUGAGGUUGGUUUUCAGGGAGCGACCAAUCGCUUCCAAGCUCCGAUCAGUGGCUUCCAAGCUGUGACCAGUCAUUUUCUAGCAGAGUCAUAAGCGACCGAUCGUUCUCAGGCUGCGACCGGUCAUUUUCAGGCAGAGUCAUUGGUGACCGGUGUCUUUCAACGUGCGACUGGUCGUUUUCAGGCUGGGACAAUUCUGGAGGAAAAAAAUCAAAAUUUUGAGAAGUGUUGGUGUCGCAAUGCUCCUCAUGUGCAGCUAAAAAAUAUAUGUCGUUUUCUCAGAACACAACAUCCAUAGAAGCAUGGACUUUCUGACUAGGAGGAUGAUAACACCGGUAUCCUUUUUGAUGAGGUGCAUGACCAAUGAAAACACACUUUUCGGUUCGGGGAUCCAAUUUGCUUCGUUGGUGAUCAUGUAAGUGGACAAUACAACACAGCCAAAAAUCAGGGGUUCCAGAUUUGGGGUGGGAGGUGUUUGGAUAUGGUGGUGAAGUAUUUGAAGUGGUGUUUGAAAAUUUAGGAUACUAGAGGGAAUCCGAUUGAUAAGGUAUGCGGUAGAGACGACGGCUUCGCCCCAAAAUGAUCGUGGCAUAUUGGCACCAAAGAGAGAGGCACGAACAACUUCCAAUAAGUGUCUGUUCUUUCUUUCAGCCACCCCAUUUUGUUGGGGAGUGUAAGGGCAUGAGCUUUGAUGUAUGAUGCCAUGAUCUUGUUAGAGCUGGUUAAGAUCAUGGUUAAGAAAUUCUCUGCCAUUGUCAGAACAAAGAACCUAAAUUUUGGCAUGAAACUGAGUCUCCACCAUUUGAUAAAACUAUUGAAACCUGGAACUAACUUCCCCUUUUGUUUUGAGAAGGGAAACCAAAGUCAUGUGUGUGCAAUCAUCAAUAAACGUAAUAAACCAGCGCUCCCCUGCCGGAGUGGCAAUUUUAGCAGGUUUCCAAACAUCAAAAUGAACAAGGGAAAACGGAAUCAAACUCUGAUUUGAACUUAAUGGGAACGGGACACGAUGACUCUUAGCCAAUUCACACAUAUCACACUAGAAGCUGGAAGCAUCAAGAUUGGAAAAUAAUGAUGGAAACAACUUCUUAAGAUAACCGAACGAGGCAUGCCCAAGACGUUUAUGCCAUAACCAAAUUUUAUCUUUCUACCCCUCAAGACGAGUUCCACUGGUUGUGAAAGCUUGACCACCCUUGACCUCACUAUUCGGUGCCCAGUCCAAGUAAUAGAGUUUGCCCCACCGAGCACCACAACUAAUCGUCGUUCUUGUGAGGAUGUCCUGAAAAAUACAAUGAUUCUGCUAAAAUGUUACAGUACACCCUAAAGUAGUAGUAAGUUGUGCAACAGAUAACAAGUUAUGGUCCAAAGAUGGAACAAGUAAUACAGAAUCCAGAUGUAGGGAAGUAGAGAGAGAUAGAGAGCCCUCCCCAACCACAGGGGAGGGGGUACCAUUAGCAUUAGAUACCACCGACGGAGUGGAUGAUUUGCGAUUAAUAAGUUGGCCAGGAUCAAAUAUCAUGUGAUCCGUAAUGCCCGAGUCGAUAAUUCAUGCAGAGGUUUUGGAGGACGUAUGAAAAGUAGAACCUUUGGUGGUGGUGAUAGAAGCAGGAAUCCGGGUAGCCGGGUCAGCAGGAUUGACCACAUGCUUCUGUGAGUCUGCAAUAAGAUGGAGAAUCGUAGGGGUUCCUGACAUCACAGCGGAAGUAAGAUGUGAUAUGAGAAGGUGAGGAAUUUGAUGUGAGGAAUUUGAUGUGAGGAAUUUGAUAUAUGAAUUUGAUGUAGGAAUUGGAUUUAAGAGGUAUGUGUAUAAGAUUUGAGGGUAUGUGUUUAGGGAUUUGGAUAAGAGGAUUUGAGGACUUUAGAUUUGAGGGAUUUGGAUUUAGGGAAAAUUAUGAGGAAUUUGAUUUAGGGUUUUGGAUUUGAAUAUGAGAAAUCUGAGAUAAGGGUUUAGAGACAACCUAGGAUCGAUUACUCUGAUACCAUGCUAAAAUAUGAAUAUGGUUUGAAUGUAUUAGGUUGAAUUAUAUUCUUUUCCAUAAGGAGGUAUAUAUAGGAGUUUACAUGAGUGCUUUACAAAGAAAUAAAUACAUUAAUCAAUUAGGAUAGUAUCUCCUAAUUAUACAAAGAUUUGUCAACUAAAUAAAAUGGGAAAUUAAAUCUCUUAAUUAAUCAAGAAAAUAAAUCUCCUUGAUUAAUUAGGAGACUCACGUCAACAUCAUGUUAAGAUUUCAAAGGGAGGAACCCUUGGCCCACCACUAGCAACAUCGAUAUUGUCCCUAACUUAACCACCUGUUUAGUAGAUGUAGGGUUUUAUACAAAAGGUCUCGAUGUUAUUAGGAGUGAAACCAUUUAUUAUUUGAGACUUUAUAUUUUGUUAAGUUUCCGAUGUGGAACUCGUGUAUUCUUCAACAUAAUAUGCUGAGGUUUUUUUAAAAUUGUUAAGAAGAACAAGAAGAAAAAAAAAUAAAGUAAAUUUAGGUUUUAGCCACAAAAAAACUUUCACUUUUGGAAAAAGCCAAAACUUUUUCAAAAAAGAUAGAAAAGCCUCUCAACUUUCAAACCAAAGACAUGCAGAUGUAAAGGAUUCCUUAGGAAAUCCAAAAAUAAAUAAGGGCAAUUUUGUCCAUUUUGGCUUCUUUUAAAAAAUUUCUCUCUCCUUUGGCCUUUUCCAAAGUCUCCCAUAUUGAAAAGCCCAUUAAAAAUUGCAAAACCGUAAACACCAAUUUUCUUGAAAAUUUAUGAAUAUACCAUACCCUAGAGUAUUUCUACAUAAGAAUGUUUUUAAAAAAAAGUAAAUUCAAAUUGAAAACAACUAAUAGAACACACAAGAAUCCUAUAGCCAAACCAAAUAUCAACCGUGAUCUUGAAAAAAUUUUCCAAAGGCGCAAGGACUGAACCUCCCUUCACCGGAAAAAAGCUUUGGAGAUGCCGGAAGUUGCCCCUUUGCUUGUGCCCAUAUGGUAUUUGAUGAAAAAACAAUUGAAAAAGAAGUAUCAAAUGAGCCAAAAAGAGAAAGCGAGACUACAAAUUGCCUUCGCAUAUGAUCCACACUUCCUUUGAGACCUAACCAAGAGAAUUUUUCUGUUCAUUUUACGUUUAUAUAUUAAAUUUCUAUAACAAGAUUGAUGUCUCUUAUCCUCGCCCCAUUCACCUUUGCAUCCAAUGGCCGUAAUUCUUCCAUUUUUUCUUAAUGUUGGGUUUAAGCAGGACCAUCCAUAAGUAUAUUAUUGCUUGCUUCAUCCACACUGGUACAAGGCCAAAAUUCUUGGCUUAUUUAAAAGCCGACCACACCUUGUCUCGUUUACAGUCUUGACAUGGUGCAAGUCACACUAUACUAUGGUUGCGUGUUAGAUUGUCCAGGUCUUACAAACACACCAUAAGUAUGUCAUUGUUCAGUUUUCCCACCAUCUAUGAUAGGCAUUGAUGUGUAGGUCAAACAUUCAAGUCGCUUUAGCCAAGUUACACUCAGUGCCGGCCCUAAGGGUGUGCAAGGAGGGCCACAUGCCUUGCAUUUGUAGGGCCCCAAAUUAUAUAUAUGUACCAAGUUGAAGGAUAUGACUUUAGAGGAGAAUGAUUUCAAUAGUUUGGUAUUUGGAGGCCUCAAAUCUGAUUACAAGUGUUUUUGAAGAGUCCAAAUGAAAAUUAUGUAAUAUACGAACAUCAAUUACAUGUAUUUAAGUAUUUAAUUGCCAAAAAGUAUUUAAUUGCUAAAAGUAGCAAUCAAUGAAAGAAAGCCAAUAGGGACUAUAAAUUCUUUUAUUUAUCCAAAAAUUCUUAUUAGUAGAUUAUUUAGUGAAGAAAUAUGAAAGAGUGCAAGUAUUGAUCACUACGUAUUGGGAUCUGUUUCCAACUUUUUUUUUUCGGGUAUUAAUCUUUUUUCAUCUCACCGUUCUUAUGAAAUUUUAUGGAGUUUAGUUAGUUAUCCUUGUCCAUAGUGUUGAUCAUGAAAAAAUUUGUUAGUCAAGGUUCUUGAGCCAUUUGUCGUACUUAUUUGCAUGUGAUGGCAGGGAAAACUUGCAGUUGAAGCUUGUUUUGAUGAGUGCCACCUUGAGUGUGGAGGACUUCAUGUAUGGUAGAAAGCUGUUUUGCAAUCCCCCGCCAGUUAUAGAAGUUCCCACCAGACAAUUUCCUGUAACCAUUUACUUUUCAAGCAGAACUAAGGAAGAGGAUUAUAUUGGGCAAGCAUGCAUGUAAAAAAGCCUUGGCAAUUCACAAGAGGCUGCCACGCCGGGGCAUACUUGUGUUCGUCACUGGGCAGAGGGAAGUAGAGUAUUUGUGUCGAAAGCUACGUAGAGUUUCAAAGGAACAGUUUAAAAAACAACUGAAGGGGAUAUUAGGAGUGAUGUCACUGAAGUUUCUGAAAGAAGUUCUACUGAGGAAAUAGACAUGAGAUCUAUGAAGCAUUUGAGGUUCAUGGAAAUUCGGCUGGCCAUCAAACUGACAGAUUUAGCUAUAAUGAUGAGGAUCAGUUAACUUUUCAAUGUGGGACAAACACUCUCAAUACGCCCCCGCACGUAUGGCGAACUAGGGCUGGCAAUGGGUCGUGUCGUGUCGGGUUCGUGUCGUGUCGGGAUAAUAAACGUGUCAAGAAUGCUCAACCCGAACCCAACCCAUUUAAUAAACGUGUCGUGUUGGGUUCGGGUCGUCUUUUAUCGUGCGGGUUUCGAGUCGUGUAACGGGUUCAUAAAGAAUAACAUGCAUGUUACAAAACUCACAACCGAAAAAAUUUUAGUUAAAAAAAAACAGAGAGAGUAGAGAAAAUAUAAGGAAAAGAAAGAAAAAAAAAGAUAGAGAGAGGAGAGAAGAGAGAAGCUAAAGAAAGAAAAAAAUAGAGAGAGAGAGAGAGAGAGAGAGAGGAGAGGAGAGAAGAUUGAAGGAAAGUAAGAAAGAAAAAAGAGAGAUGAGAGAAAACUGAAGAGAAGGAAAAAAAACAGAGAGAAGAGGAAAGGAAAAGAGAGGAAAAAAAAAAAAAAAAGAGGAGAAGAGACGGGUUGACGGGUUGUACACGGGUUGACACGACCCGUGACACGACCCGUUUAAUAAACGGGUUAGAUAGGUAUUAUAGCGGGUUAGCGGGUUGACCCGAAACCCACCCGUUUAUUAAACGGGUCAGAACGGGUUGACCCGAAAUUGACCCGUUUUUUUAUCGUGCGGGUUGAACCCGCUAAUUUCUCGUGCGGGUUUCGAGUCGUGUAUCGGGUCGUAUCCGAAAUUGCCACCCCUAUGGCGAACCUUCAAGUCUAACACGUGGACAACACAUAUUGGGUGACGUGGGAGCACGUGUGGCCGUUGGGCCCAACGCGUGAAGCCUUGCUCUGAUACCAUGAAGGCAGUUGAGGUUCCACCCCAAAACCAAUUGGUAAUGGGGGGAGUAGCCCAACUCCUUAUAAACCCAGGCUUGGUCCUUUAACUUUUAAAAUGUGGGACAAACACUCUCAACAUUAAUAUGCAAUUAAACAUCUUGAAAUUUUCUUUUAGUAGCUUGAUUUGUGAGGUGGGGAUAUAGUUUAACUUCACAAGAUUUUUAUGUGCAGCCCACUGACUAUACGUAAAAUUGACAAUACUGAUUUCAUUGGGGUUAGGUUUGGGGUUCUGAACCUGUUGGUUUGUGUAUCUUAUUGCUUGUAGAUGUAUCAUUCAUCUUCUAAAGUUCAUGGUUUUCGAUAGUUCUUACUAAGUUCUUGGGCAGCGUUGGCUUGUUUCACCUGAAAGUAUGCUUUAUUUUGUUACCAUUAUGUUAUUUAGAGAUCAUGUUUCUUGUGUUUCAUCUUUUACGUCUGGAGGACUGCUGUUAUAGUAUAUGACCUU